CCCCUAGUAACUGCGAGUGAAGCGGGAAGAGCUCAAAUUUAAAAUCUGGUGGCUUCGUCACCCGAGUUGUAAUCUGGAGAAGCGUUUUCUGUGCCGGACCGUGUACAAGUCUCUUGGAAUAGAGCGUCGUAGAGGGUGAGAAUCCCGUCUCUGACACGGAUCGCCGGUGCUUUGUGAUACGCUCUCGAAGAGUCGAGUUGUUUGGGAAUGCAGCUCAAAAUGGGUGGUAAAUUCCAUCUAAAGCUAAAUAUUGGCGAGAGACCGAUAGCGAACAAGUACCGUGAGGGAAAGAUGAAAAGCACUUUGGAAAGAGAGUUAAACAGUACGUGAAAUUGUUGAAAGGGAAACGCUUGAAGUCAGUCGCGUCGUGCAGGAUUCAGCCAGGCUCCUGCUUGGUGUACUUCCUGUUUGACGGGCCAGCAUCGAUUUUGGUCGGCAGACAAGGGCGUGGGGAAUGUGGCACCUCCGGGUGUGUUAUAGCCCCUCGUCGCACGUGUCGGCCGGGAUCGAGGACCGCAGCGUGCCUUCACGGGCCGGGGUUCGCCCACGUAACGCGCUUAGGAUGCUGGCGUAAUGGCUUUAAGCGACCCGUCUUGAAACACGGACCAAGGAGUCUAACAUGCCCGCGAGUGUUAGGGUGGAAAACCCUUGCGCGGAAUGAAAGUGAAAGUUGGGACCCUCGCUAGGGGGGCACCGACGCCCGGCCUUGAACUUCUGUGAUGGUGCCGCGGUGGAGCGUGCAUGUUGGGACCCGAAAGAUGGUGAACUAUGCCUGAAUAGGGUGAAGCCAGAGGAAACUCUGGUGGAGGCUCGUAGCGAUUCUGACGUGCAAAUCGAUCGUCAAAUUUGGGUAUAGGGGCGAAAGACUAAUCGAACCAUCUAGUAGCUGGUUCC
rnacentral:rRNA from 1 species